GGUGACGCCGGGCUGCUGCGCCGGCAGUCCGCCACAAAGCCUCGUACUGAUCGCGCGUUUCUCUCAUUAUUGUAUUUUCAUAUAUUUGUUAGUCGUUUGUUUUGUGUCUCGUUAAUUUGUUAAUAAUCUGUAGUGUAUCGUGUUGUCGUAAUAUAGAACUAUUUCUCGUAUUGUUUCGUUUAAUUUUUUAUAUCCAGUCCAGUUUUUUAACUCCAGUCGUGCGUCGGAGCGGACACACACACUUUUUUUUAUAUAAUAGUAAAUAGAUUUAAAUAAAACUGGACAUUUCAGUAAAUCUUGGACACGGCGGGGAAUUUCUUUUUGUGAUGGUUGACAAUGUUGACAUUGAUGACUACCAUUUGCAUUGAGUAAUGAGUCUAAAGCUGAUCUUGUCGGGUUAUUUGCUAAAGAAUUUCCAUGUUUAGUUUGAUUAUUCUCAUCAAAAUCCAUCAAUUUCAUAAUAUCUGUUACUAGUAUUAAACGUUGAAAUUUAAAAGUCGGGCAACUCAAGAAGAGGUGGGAUAAGUCGGCCUCAUUUCCUCCACAAUUCAGUCACGUGUCUAUAUAUUUGUGAAGUAUAAAGGUUAUACAGGAUUGGAGAUAAAGAAGACCCUUGCAUCAACCCCUUGAAAGCUAAUUUUGGACCAUGAAAAACAUUAUUGUAUUUAAUGUAUAAAGAACGACCAAAAUACAUAUUGAAAAUCCAUUUUAAAAGUUUUCCUGGGAAACCCAAAGAAUAUAGCACCCUAAUUAAUUGGUGAAGAUCUACAUUAUCAUAUGCCCCCUGCACAUCAAGGAAAACACAAAUUGCAGUAGAACCUGAUAACAAACACUUUUUCAUAUCAGUCAGAAACGUGCAGAUUUUGAAGCAUAAUAUAAGGAAUAUCGUCAAGACCAGGGGUUGUAUUCUUUCUUGAAGACAAAGCCAAGUCAAGUUCUUCAAAAUAAAAAGAGUUAAGUAGAAACAUGCUCCACUGACUUCCGUCAUUAAAUUCAAAUAAACCAGAAAUAUUAUCAUUGUUAUUACUAGGCUGCGCUAACUUCUCUAAAAAACUUUCUAUCCACUCAUCAUUUUUGGACAGAUUUCUAUUAAUGUUAAUUCUCUUAAAUCUUCUAAUAAAAUUCCACACUCGGGAUACUGGAGUGAAUCUAUUAAAAGAUGAACAAAGACUUUUCCAACUGUCUUUCUUAGCCAGUUUGAUAAUAAUUUUUUUCCUAGAAUCUAUUUUCUUAUAUUCUAUAUAAUUGUCCAUUGUCAUAUUACGUCUAUAAUUAGCUAACGCUUCUCUUGAUUUAGUUACAGCCUCAGCACAAGUAUCAUUCCACCAAGGAGCUGGAGGAGCAGACUUUUUACUAGAAGAUUUAUGUUUUAACAAUGGAAUACAGUUUUCUUUUAAACUAAGUAGCAAUUUAGAAAAUUCAUCAUAUUGAACUAAAGGAUCAACGGUUGAAGGAGAAAAAUUAUCAAAUAUAUCUUUGGAUUUGUCUUUGUACAUA